AUAUAUGUUUACAUAGACAGGCACAAUGACCAAGAUGACAGUUAAGACCAUUGAAAAAAGCUUGUACUCCACACAGAUUUAGAUAUAACAGAAAGAAAAGAGCCUUGAAAUCUUUUUGGAGAAAUACACACAAUGGCUGAAAGAAGAGCUCACCAGACCAGAAACCAUCCUAUUUAGUUGAUCCAGAUCAAAACCAAUCUGGGACAGAUCACCAUGCACGUCAUUAACCU
rnacentral:lncRNA from 1 species